UUUGCUGAUGGGUUGUAUGUACUAUGAGAGAAAGGAAAGAUUACAGGAUAAUUCCAAGUAUCUGACCCUGAGCACCUAGAAAAAUUAAGUUACUAUUAAGUAAUAUAAUAGGAAGUCAGUUUUGUAGCUGUUAGAUUUAGGAUAUCUAUUCAGGUAGAGCUGUGGAGUAUAUCACUGCAUAUACGAAUCUAGACUGGAAAAGAAACACGGGCCUGAGAUAUAAACCUGGAAGUCAUAACAUCCUAAGUUUAUCUGAAACCAUGAAACCAACCAGAAUGUGUGUUAGGUUAGAAUAUAAAAAAGGACCAAAAACAGCCCUCGGACAUCUCAACAUUAAAAGAAAAUUAAGGAAAAGAGAAGGAACCAGUAAACGGAGAAAAACUGAGUGAGGGGAGAAGAAAACCACAGGACUAAAGGGUUCCAGCCGUGAAAGGACGAUCGUGUACAAAGGAAAGAGACCACGUGGAUCAGAUAGGAUGAUAUUUGACUAGUGAGUGCAGCAGAAUGGUGUUAUUCAUGAAAACACGAACAGUGCCAUGGAAAGGUGGGAACAAAUGCUUGAUCGGAGUACGUGCAGAAGAGAAUGGAGAUACAGAGAGAUGCGCACAUACACACACAUUACAAGUACACUGUGGAGCAAGAGAAGGCAGGUUAAAAAAGCAUGUGCUCUGCAAUUCCAUUCAUAGAAGCAGAAGCAGACAUAACUAAACUACAGUGUUAGAAGUCAGGAAACUUGCCAUGUGGGGAAGCUGUUUUUAGAAGUAAGCAUAAGAGGGCUCCUGGGGUGCUGGUAAUAUGUGAAAAAUAAUCAAGUAUACACUUACAAUAUGUACAUUUUUCUGUUUAAAAACAAAAAGAUGAGCACAAGAACUGAAGAUGGAAAUAUCAAAAGCUCUUUAGAGAAACUAGCAAUGAACGGAAGCAAAGAAAUGAGGUUGGCAGCCAGUGGGAGAAAUGAAGUCAAGAUUUGUUUUUGCUGAUUUCUUUUCCUUUCUUUUCUGUUUGGUGGGCGGGUUUCUACACAACAAGGAAAAACAGGAAGACAGAAACUGAUCAUGUAGGAGAGAGAUAAAAGAAUUGGUUGGAGUGAUGUCCUCGCGUGGGUGGGAGAGGAUGGAAAUCAGUAUGCAGAAAGAGUGAGUUUAGUGUUUGACAAAGUAUAACGUUACAAACACUGAUUCUGGAGUCAGAAAAACCUACGUUGAAAUACUGAUUUCUUCAAUGACUAUCUAAGUUUCAUCAUCUGUGAAAGAUGAUCAACUAAGGCAAACUUACCAGACCAGGCUUAAGCUUCAGGACCCCUCGCCGAUGGAAACCCCGUAUUUUAGCUGAUCCACUCCCUCAGAGAUUUCCAGACCCCUCGUCUACCCUAGAAUCUGUCUCCUGGUUCAUGAUUCCAAAGCCCCAGAUGCCUUAGAAGCAUUAUCUCAUCAUGCUACAGUGAAGAUUAAAGGAAUUAAUACAUAGAGAGCACCUAGGCCAUAUUUGGAUAUAGAGGCAACACUCAAUAAAUAUUAUUAUAUAUUUGAACCCAAGUUCCACUGAAAGUAAAUGACUUGGUCAAGGUCAUACAGUGAGUGUUAUUUAAAGAAUAACAGUCCCCUCCACUUUCCCUGCUAAUAUGCAUUUUUUUUCACAGCUGGAAAUUGUUGAAAGUCAUCACGUUUUCUCCAAACAACCUAGUAACUAA